rnacentral:miRNA from 15 species
ACCAGCUUGCUGCAGGGCCCCA